GUGGGGCACCCAUCCACCCCCAUGGCAAAGCAGCCCCCACGCUUCAGAGAAGUGUUCCCGUGCUGGCUGCAAAAACCAGAUUUCCUGCCCCCCACAACCCCCACCCCUACUCCUCGCCCCGGGAGGACUUCUGAACCUGGCAUUUGUGGCAUGCGUGAAAGGACAGCCGCCACUCGGCAUCACUAGAAAACGUCUGCUCCCGGGUCUACUGGCGACUGGCACCACCGCACACCGACCCCGGGGAGAGGAGGCGCAAGAUGGGGAGAGGAAAACGCCCCGCGCACAUUUCCCAAACUCUGUGCGUCGGCCCAGGGAGGCCAGUGUGCCUGGAGAGGGGAGAAGGGCCCGCGGUGUCAGGGUGUCCGCAGUUCGGACGGAGGGGAGCAGCUGCUCCACUUUCGCCCUGCGCUGAGCCCCUUGGCCGCAACUCCCCGGAGUGGUCGUCCGGCUGGCGACCCGCCACCUACAGAGCGCUGCGCCGCGCCACGCCCCACGCGGCUCUGGGCUAGGGGCCGUGGACGGGAAGCCAGACCUCGUCCCGGCUCCGGGAGCUGGGGCACACCGGGUAGGUUUUCGACGUCUAAGCCCAGGCGGCGCCCCUCCACCGGUGCGGCGCGCCGGGAUCUCUCUUCUACCUAGCGGGUACUUGUGGCCGGGGACUGGAUGCGGGUAAAGGAAAGGCCUGGGAAGAGAAGUAGCGGAAGCCUUAUGAAGAGGUCCGGAUUCGAGUGGCUGGGUGCAACAAGUAGCUUGCACAGCGGGUAAGAAGCUCCGGGGCGAGCUGCUUCCUGCCAGCGGCGGAGCGACAAGCGCAGGCAGGCAGUCAGCGACAGGAACUGAGAACGCUAAAGAGAGACUAACCGGUUCCUUUGGUAAGGAGAUAAAAGGGGGCCGCGGAUGUCCAAAAGGGUCGUGCUCCAGGUGAGGCUCGAACUCACAACCUCGGCAUUGCUCUGCAUGUACUGCUGUAUAAGUACCGCGCGCUAACCGAUUGCGCCACUGGAGCUCCGCUUAGCCGGCCUCGCGAUGGCUCUAUCAGGGUUCACCCAGGCCCGGUGCGGGCUUCGGAGGAGCAUGCGCACUGGCGGUUCCGGGCUCUGCGGGACUGGAUCCCGGCCCCGCGUCGCCUGCCUCUGCCCCGCGACCCCCGGAAGACUGAGCGGGGCGUCCUGCGAGGGUCUCGCCCGGGGAUGAAGGGCCGGUUGGCAGGGCCGUGAUGGGCUGGUCGCUGGGGCGUUGAGAAGAGCGCAGCCCGCCUCCCCAAGCAGCGCGGGAGGAGGAGCCUCGGCCGCCGCGUUCGGCGUCCUUCGGGAGUUUCGUCUGGGGAGCCGGAAGCGCGAGGAGUCGGGCGGGCGGCGGACGGCAGGUGGGCCUCGGCAAUGUCACACUCUACUUUGGGCCAAAUUGUAACUGUCCGGUGCCCCAGGCACUUUUGUCUUCGUGGACCCCCUCCUCCAUUAAAAAAAAGAAGAAGAAGAAGAAGAAAAGAAAAUUAAUGGUAUUUUAUUCCUGCAAAAUAAAGAUAUAAUCCAGGCUGGAUUUAUUGGGACAACAUGA